UGCUGCUAGCAAAAAUGGUAUAAUGAAGUAUAAUGAAGAGUUUUGGUAAAUAAACUCGAUACUUCUAAGUUUUUGUCUCAAAUUCAUUAUUCGAUCGUCAUUUGUACGUGUAUUUUCUUAUGACACAAUAAAUUGAUUAGCACUCUUUAUGAAUGACCUACUUAAUUUCUGUUAAAUGACGUUCGAUUGGGAAACUAUGUUAGAAGGUCAAAACUAAGUUCUGGCGUGGAUUUUCAGUUGCAUCAAUAUCGAGCAUCAAGAAGAUGCAAGGAAUUAAUUACCAGGAGGAUCUUUUUUGGAGUUGAAGAAUUCUCAAAAAGAUGUGGAUUCUCUACCAUUCAAAUUUGUUGACAUGCUAUCUUUAACGGGUGACAAAGAUGAUAAGAAUUCAGGAGUCCUAGGGUAUUGGAGAGUUGCAAGCUCUGAUGUUAAUAAUUGAAAUUGUAUGGAUAUUGGUUAAUUUCGGAGCUCCUACCUUCUUGGAAUGUGCUGAUCAAGUAAAGGACGACAUACUAAAAAGGUCUUAUGAGGUGGAAAGAAAUAACCUAUCAAUGAAAAUGCUAUCACAAGGGAUUUACUACACUCAAUGCAGGUAAGUGGGAGCAUACCGUGUUUGAGUUUUGUAUAGGCUAGAUGGUGUUGUUGGACUUUAGUAUGAAGGAUAAUUUGUUCAGUUUAAAGUGUUAACCUUUUUGUGAUUGUUCCGAUUGAACUGGGAAAUCAGAUUUCACAGCAAACAAUUUAUGGUUUGGUUUCAAACCAGUUGGCUGGAGGAUGUCAUAUAGUAUGAGCUAUUCUAGAAUCCACGUAAUAAAUUGAAUAGAGCUUGCGAACUAAGAUAAUUUCCACAAAGAUUUCUGGGAAUUUUUUUUCCCCCGUUCCAUUGCAUUAGAAAAGACGGAUCAAUUACUACUUUUCUUAAUUUUACAGGACAUAUACAUAUCUUUUGUUCACCCGAAGGAAUGUAAUAAUAAAUCUUUUUUCACGGGAAGGAAUGUAAUUUCACGGGAAGGAAUGUAAUAAUAAAAAAUUUCAGCGUAAAAUUUUAAGACUUUUUCCAUGUUUGGAAUGCUAAAGCUUUAAUUGUAAGUUACGUUCUUUCAUUCUAA